GACUGGCUGCAAAAUUUACCCAUUUAAGGGAGCAUGCGCAGAACCCAUGUGCAGGCAAUUUUUCUUUUCCCCAAAAGAUAUCAAAAUUAAGCCACCUUUUUAGAAAAAAAAACCUAUUGAAAACCCAAAUCACCUUUUUAAAACCCAUUUUCCUUUUAACAAUCAUCUUUUUGAUUUUUUUUGAAAAAAACUUAAGAAUUUUUUUGAAAUGUUCUCUCAACUCAUACACUCAUUUUCUCCUCUUCAUCAGACACCAGCUCUAUCAAAGGUCCCAUGUGCGAUGAUCACCGACGACAUGAGCACAACUCCAGUAUAAUGGACGUGGGGCGUGGGUCGUGCUUGGUGGUGGAGAACGUGGGUAGUAGAAGCAUGGAGUCAGUUGGAGGCUAGGGUCCUGGCUGAAAAUGUUUUGGGGUUUGUGGGUUAGGGUUAAGUAUUUGGGCUUUAAAAUUGGGUCUGUUUUUAUUUUGUUUUUGAUUUGAUUUUGGUUCUAUUUUUGGUCUUUGGGGGUUUAUUUUUGUUUAAAAAUUUGGGCUUUAAAAGUAAAUGGGCCCGGGCAAAAUUUGGUACCCACAGUUGCCCCUCUUUGCUCGUUGUUUGUGUAACAAGAAUGAAGCAAAGACAUUAAAGAGUCAA